CGUCGGCGGGGGCCUCGGG
rnacentral:snRNA from 1 species